GACGAACGCUGGCGGCGUGCCUAAUACAUGCAAGUAGAACGCUGAAGCGAGGAGCUUACUCUUCUUGGAUGAGGUGCGAACGGGUGAGUAACGCGUAGGUAACCUGCCUUGUAGCGGGGGAUAACUAUUGGAAACGAUAGCUAAUACCGCAUAACAAUGGAUGACACAUGUCUUUUAUUUGAAAGGGGCAAUUGCUCCACUACAAGAUGGACCUGCGUUGUAUUAGCUAGUAGGUGAGGUAAUGGCGCACCUAGGCGACGAUACAUAGCGCACCGGAGAGGGUGGUCGGCCGCCUUGGAGCGGGGACACGCCCCAUGGUCCUGCGGGAGGCACCAGUAGGGAACGUGCGGCAAUGGGGGGGAAUCUGGCCGAAUGAGGCCACGUGAGAUGAGAAGGUUUUCGGAUCGUGAAGCUCUGUUGUGGGUUGAGAACGGGUGUGGCAGUGGAAAGUUCACACUGUGACGGUACCUAACCAGAAAGCGACGGCUAACUACGUG
rnacentral:rRNA from 1 species